GACAGAGGGUGCAAACGUUGUUCGGAAUUACUGGGCGUAAAGCGAGUGUAGGCGGUCCGAAAAGUCAGGUGUGAAAGCCCUGGGCUCAACCCAGGAAGUGCACUUGAAACUGCCGGGCUAGAGUACUGGAGAGGUUGGUGGAAUUCUCGGUGUAGAGGUGAAAUUCGUAGAUAUCGAGAGGAACACCGGUGGCGAAGGCGGCCAACUGGACAGAUACUGACGCUGAGACUCGAAAGCGUGAGGAGCAAACAGG
rnacentral:rRNA from 1 species